rnacentral:rRNA from 1 species
UACGUAGGGGGCAAGCGUUGUCCGGAAUCAUUGGGCGUAAAGAGCGUGUAGGCGGCCCGGUAAGUCCGCUGUGAAAGUCCAGGGCUCAACCCUGGGAUGCCGGUGGAUACUGUCGGGCUCGAGUCCGGAAGAGGAGUGUGGAAUUCCUGGUGUAGCGGUGAAAUGCGCAGAUAUCAGGAGGAACACCAAUGGCGAAGGCAGCACUCUGGGACGUGACUGACGCUGAGGAGCGAAAGCAUGGGGAGCGAGCAGG